rnacentral:misc_RNA from 1 species
GAUGAAGAACGUAGCAAAAUGCGAUACUUGGUGUGAAUUGCAGAAUCCCGUGAACCAUCGAGUUUUUGAACGCAAGUUGCGCCCGAAGCCUUUUGGCCGAGGGCACGUCUGCCUGGGCGUCACGCAUCGCGUCGCCCCCCACAAUUCUCCGUAAAGGGAGCAUGUGUUUUGGGGGCGGAUAUUGGUCUCCCGUGCUCAUGGCGUGGUUGGCCGAAAUAGGAGUCCUUUCGAUGGACGCACGAACUAGUGGUGGUCGUAAAAACCCUCGUCUUUUGUUUCGUGCUGUUGCUCGCAAGGUAAACUCUUUAAAAACCCCAAUGUGUCGUCUCUUGACGACGCUUCGACCGCGACCCCAGGUCAGGCGGGACUACCCGCUGAGUUUAAGCAUAUCAAUAAGCGGAGGA